GAAGCUCGCGGGGUGUCUUCCUGUGGCAUCCCAGGGGGUGCAGGGACGGAGCAGCUUCGGGGGCAGGUCCUCGUAAAUCCUGUGGAGGGCGCUGACCCGGCGCCCCAGGCUUCGAGGUCAGAAAUCGGUUCCCUCUGGGGACCUGCGGGGACGAGAGCGCUCUGGCCCCUGAAGUGCGAAGUUGCAUCUUUAUUGGGGUCCGGGAUUCCGCGCCUGGCGCUGUCUCCAGCCUGGUGGCGGGCAAGCCUGGCGUGCCAGGUCCAGGAUGCGCUAGAGGAGCGUUUGCAGCCGUCACUGAAUCGCCUGAGGACUAGCGGGGCAAGCCUGAAAUUAACCGCAGCGUUUGCAACAGGGUCUCACUCUGCUGCCCAGCCUGGAGUGUGGUCACAUGAUCUCAGCUCACUGCAGCCUCUACCUCCUGGCUCAAGUGAUCCUCUCACCUCAGCUCGUGAGUAGCUGUGACUAUAGGCAUGUGCCACCAUUGUCUGGCUAAUUUUUAUAUUUUUUGUAGAGAUGAGGAUUAUUCAACAUGUUUCCCAGGUUGGUGUGGAACUCCUGGGCUCAAGUAGUCUGCCUGCUUCAGCCUCUCAGAGUGCUGGGAUUACAGGUGUGACCAUCCCCACCUGGCUUGUGAUUCACUUUU
rnacentral:lncRNA from 1 species